rnacentral:rRNA from 1 species
AUUGAACGCUGGCGGCAUGCCUUACACAUGCAAGUCGAGCGGCAGCACGGGGGCAACCUGGUGGCGAGUGGCGAACGGGUGAGUAAUGCAUCGGAACGUGCCAUUGAGUGGGGGAUAACGUAGCGAAAGUUGCGCUAAUACCGCAUAUUCUGUGAGCAGGAAAGCAGGGGACCGCAAGGCCUUGCGCUCUUUGAGCGGCCGAUGUCAGAUUAGCUAGUUGGUGAGGUAACGGCUUACCAAGGCGACGAUCUGUAGCGGGUCUGAGAGGAUGAUCCGCCACACUGGAACUGAGACACGGUCCAGACUCCUACGGGAGGCAGCAGUGGGGAAUUUUGGACAAUGGGCGCAAGCCUGAUCCAGCCAUGCCGCGUGAGUGAAGAAGGCCUCGGUUGUAAGAC